rnacentral:rRNA from 1 species
GACGAACGCUGGCGGCGUGCUUAACACAUGCAAGUCGAACGGAAAGGCCCUGCUUUUGUGGGGUGCUCGAGUGGCGAACGCGUGAGUAACACGUGUGUAACCUGCCCUUGUCUUUCGGGUAACUUCAGGAAACUGGGGCUAAUACCGGAUAGGAGCUCCUGCUGCAUGGUGGGGGUUGGAAAGUUUCGGCGGUUGGGGAUGGACUCGCGGGUUAUCAGCUUGUUGGUGGGGUAGUGGCUGACCAAGGCUUUGACGGGUAGCCGGCCUGAGAGGUGGGCCGGCCACAUUGGGACUGAGGUACGGCCCAGACUCCUACGGGAGGCAGCAGUGGGGAAUAUUGCACAAUGGGCGGAAGCCUGAUGCAGCAACGCCGCGUGCGGGAUGACGGCUUUCGGGGUGUAAACCGCUUUCGCCUGUGACGAAGCGGGAGUGACGGUAAUGGGUAAAGAAGCACCGGCUAACUACGUG